ACUAAUUUAACUCUAAUCGAGAGUAAACAGUCAUUGUGGAGUGAGAAGGAAGAGGAUGAUGAGAUCAGAGAUGGGAAGAAGGAAGGUGGUCUUCUGUCUUGUUAUAAAAAAAGGAUGAAAUACAUGGUACUUCGGAAAGCUCAAAAAACUCUCAAAACUCAUCCUGGCUGACAAUGUAGAUUAGACGCAUCAGAUGAAAUGAAUUGAAAAACUCUCCUGGGAAUGAAAGUGAUAACUGAAUGAUUAUUGUAAAGCAAAUCCCGGAAUGAACUUAUGAGACCCACCAUCAGCCUGUCAAAUAAUGUGCGAAAGAAGAAAUCUGUGUCUCUCCAGGGACAAAUUGUUGCUUUCAAACCAACAGUAAAGUGUCCAUUCUAUGAAUGAUACAUUGAUAUAUACACAUUAUAGAAGGAUGGAUACAGAGUUUCUUCAGGUCCAUGAAUGAGGUAUUCAGCAGUUGACCUGGAUCAGAAAUGAAGGUAAUUUUUGCCAACUCUUCAGACUUGAGCUCCUUCACUAGGAUCCCCAUGAUUGAAGAAAAGAACAAACUCAGACAACUUGUCUCAGAUUUUUAUAUAGUUAAGAUUUCCUGGUCUUGGUCCUAGGAAGGAAGGAUAUCUUGCUUUCCAAUUCUUGUUUAUCCUAUAAUCCUCUCUGCUGCAUUCAUGCAAAUAGAUUACUGUGCAUUUCUUUAAUAGGUUACAAUUGCUAUUUUAAUUAUGUUGCCAAGAACUAUAGAAAAAAAGAAGGACUGUAUCAAAGCAUCAUAUGAAAAUCCGACUAAGGUAAUGUGGCCAUUGGAAAUUUGUAACUGACCUGAAACUCUUACUAGAGACAAACUGUUGUAGAAGGUCUUCUAUAGAUACCUGGUGUAGUAGUUGUUGUUCCCCAACAGAUACUAAAGGAUGAAUAUCUCUCUACAGAGGAAUCAGACUAGUCACAAUGAUCACAGACUAUGGACCACAUAAUUUAACAAUGGCUGACUAUUUGUAUAGUCCUAGAAUGUUUCAUUAGUUUAUUAGUCCAAUAGGCUAGAUGUCUCAUCUGGUCAUUGGUAUAUGGAUAAAUCUUCAGUAUGUAGGUUCUAAUGUCUGUGAGGGUUUGGUAGCAAUGUGACUGCAAGCAGGAAAGGUAAAAGCUUCUUUCUUCCAUGUUUUCUAUGGGGAUUCAAAUAGAAUGCAUGGUUAAGAAUACAUAGGGAUUGCCAUUUUCAAACAGACCAGUAUCUUCAACUAAACAUUCUUUUCUGGGAAGAUGCACUUUGUCAGCUUGGCUCAUGUGUAUGUGAACUGCAAGAUCUUGUGUGGGAAGGCAGUCCUGUUCAUCAAUCCCAAUUGCCCCUCUUACAGAAAUAUCCAAGACUUCCUCAAUCAACUCCUUUGCAAUCAUGGUCUUCUGAGAUUUGAAGACAUUACAUCUACUAACAACACCAAUGCAAUUCAAGAUUACUUUCAACAGCUCCCUGGAGUGAGAAUUGUUCCUUGGGUCCUUAUAUGUAGAGAAAGACUGCAUAGGCAGACACAGUGAUCUAAUCUACCUGCAACAGAAUGAAGAGAUGAUGAUGUGGCUGAAGCAGAUUGGAGCUCUGCAUUUAUUAAAGGGAUGGCAGUAAAAGCCCAUGCUGACAGCAGACAUUCAGACAUGCUGAAGCCAUGCUGAGACUUGAUGUUUGUCACAGAUGAUGUCAGUAUUUUCUUAUGACUGGGAUUUUCAACAAAUUGGCUUUCAUUCUAUUCCUCAUUCCAAAAAAUCUUUUGCUGUAGGCCUCAAACCAUGGGGCAGGGAAACUUAAGAGACAACAGAGGAUUGAUAAUCCAGUCUUCAUUCACUGACUUGUCUCUACCUCUAAGUCCAUGUUUCACAAUCCAGUGCAUUUAUUUAAAUCUCCAGGGAAUCAGUUACUGUUUCUCUACCAUGCUGGUCUGCUGAAGUCAUUUUACAGAAGUCCACUUCCAAGUAAUUAUUAAAGCAAUGAAUAUUUUGAAGUUGUUUAUGAUCUACACACAGGCUUUUUACGCCCCAAGCAUGUACCAUCCCACUUCUGCGUUUGUAGCUCUCAGCCAGUGUUCUCGACCUAUCCAUCCAGCAACCCUUAGAUUCCACACUUUGUAUGAGGAUAAUAUUUGAAAAAACAGAAGAAUAGCUGUAGCAUAAUUGUUCUUCACUGAAGGCAUAUUAACACAGACGGCAGAGCAUAUGAUGCAUUCAUCUCUGUUUGUAGUGUUUAAUUCCCCGUAAAGUCCCAAACAAUUGAGAGUUGAUUCUGUCAGAGUACCAGCAAAGUCAAAUAGGAAAUGCAAAAUUUCAGAAUUCUCCUUCCAAAGAUGUUUGUGAAUGAAGUUGUUUGCAAAACACUGUCUUAAUAAAUUUAUUCCAUUCUCACUUUGAUAAUUUGCUUUGAUGUCUUGAAGUGACGUUUAAUUAUCACUGAAAUGCAGGUCCCCUCUAUAGUCUCCAGUAAGAAGAAUUCAUUCCUCAAAAGGAUGUAUCUGCAGAUGCCUGAAAAAAUAAUAGAAAGAAUAUUUCUUGAUAAAGAUCUAGGUUAAAGUUGAAACAUCUUACCACAAAGAUACAUAUAAGAAGUUCAUUUGACAUUGACCUUAUAUUAUGCAGAAAUUCUUCACAUAUUCCCUCUAUCGUUGGGGUUUAAUUAAUCUCCAAUGAAUAGUUGACAAUGAAGAGUAGCCUUUAGAAUCAUUUUACCCUUUUCAGUAAUAGUUUUAAGCAAAUGGAACACUAAAAGAUCACAAAGAAGAAAUGGUUAUAAUCAAAAGAUACAUGUGGGACAGUCUAACUCUCAUGGUCAAGAUGACUUUGCACAUGCUCCUUAUGGUCAUGGAUUGCUCUCAUAAUACUCUGCAGAAGGUUGUUCCUACUGCCUCACUUUAAGCUCCAGGAAUUCCAAGCUACCAGAGCUGUUCAAGUUCCCUUACAAUGCACUUGAAAGCCACAUAUGCUUAGGAACUUUUGAUGUGCUUUAGCUCUAUUGUCAGGUUUUUUUAAGCCUCUACCAAAUAGCAAGCUGUCCUUUUUACCCUCUUCUCAACACCUCUAAAUCUGCCCUAACUCAAUUUCUCAAUUGACAUUAGUCAUAGCUCAGCACCCCAAAUAUGCACUUAUCUUACUGUGUUUUUAACAUCCUACCUGCUACACCAAUGGCCACUCCAUACUAGAUCUCACAUGACUGGUAACUCUUGCUCCACCCUAAAUCUUUUCUCCACCCUUGUGUCUACUAGCCUGUUGGUAGAAAUCCACACAACUGAUUGGCCAAGAGCAUCUUUAUUGAACUAUACAGAAUCAAUUUGGGAACAGGACCUUCAGUGUUCGCAGGAUGAUUCCCGAUCUAAGAAUCAAAACGAUAGCAAACAAGACUCAAUCCAUGUCUCUGGUUUUGGGACGGAGAUAGAGCACUUAGAUUCAGAGUUGAAAUUUAAAUAAUUAUAAUAUAUAUGUAGUAUUAAUUAUGCCAGGAUAAAAGGAUCCAAAAAGUGGAAAUGGGCAACAUUAAAGGCAAGAGAAAAAUCCCUAGUACAGCAAACAAUGUGGACCUGUUAGAAAGACUGGUCUCUUUCCAGCCAUCUGAAUUUGUACUUGAAAUUCUUCUAACCACUCUUGAUCUCUGCAUGUAGAAAAGAACAAAAAGAAAAAGAAAACAAAAUAAAACAAAAAAUCAUUAAAAUGAAACCAAAAGCAAAAGAAAUAGCUAAUCAACCCAAUCCUAAAAGAAGAGGACCGAGUGAAGAUUGCUUGAGGUCCUCAUUUUUAACUACAACUACAAGUCACCAAUAGCUUUCAAUGCAAAAGUUUGUCAUUAUUUUAUUUGAAACUUCUCUGUGGGUCAAAGAAACAAGGUUUAUAAGCUGCAACAACAGGAAAGAGAAAAAAAUCAUACUGUAGAGCUCAACACUGAUAUUACUAUGGUGACUGUGGGCAAUGCAGAGAAUAUUGGUGUUUGACAAUGGGUCUUGUGGUUUUCUAUAUGCUGGCAAUAUCUAUGACUCUGAAAUGAAUUAGAGUCAUCACCAAAUCAUCACUAAAUGAACUGCUCCUUUCUUUGGAGCACAAGAUCUGGCAAACUGUUGACUGACUAUGAUUUUUAACUUGGAUCUAGCCUCUGUGGUAAAGCUAAGGCUUCUGAUGGAAAAUCCUCCACCAAAAUACUGGACUAUCAAUUGUGCUGCCAGCCAAAAACCAAGUCCUGACUCUACCCUGCAAUCCAGAAGAGGUUUCAAAGUGUCAAACAUAACAAUAUUUUAAUUGUGGCUUUGUCUUUUUUUCACUUUUUAUUUUAAAUAAAGUGUGAUUUCUGGCAUAAUUCCUUCUAAGUUCUUCCUCACAUAGAACUUCACUUUUGACCUCAAAUUCCAUUCAUGAAGGGGUACUCUUAUCUUUCGUUGGCUAAGUUUUCUAUUUUGCUUUUAUGGCUUGCUGUGAUUGCUUAUUGUGACUGUCUAAAUGAUGCAUUAUUGAGCAACUGACUCCAUAAGAAUGGCUUGCGGGCAUCAGUAUUUUGCAUUUUCUUGAUGGUUAGUUUAUGUAAGGUGACUUAGCCCACUGUGGAUGGUAACAGCACUAGUAAGCUGAGGAGGUUACAGAGAAAAGGUAGCUGAGCAGAUUAGUAAGCAGAGUUCCUCUUUAUUUUCAUGCUGCUGCCUUGUGUUCUUUUCUUGGAUUCCAUUGAUUAUGAACUGGAACUUGUAAGGUGAAUUAAACCUUCAAUUUCCCACACUGGCAUUUUUAUGUUUACUAUAACAUAGUCGUACUAACUGGAACAUUUGGCAUUUUCUUGAGAUCUGAUCCGAUAGUCCAUCCUCCUGCUGGCAUGUAACUUACCCUUUUAAAUUAAUAAAUAAAUCCAAGUCACUCCAAACUUUUGACAUAUUCACUCUGCCAACAAAAUCACACUGUGUAUGUAACUUACUUUUAAUCUCAUAUUUUUCCUCCCACAUUUUUUCUCUUUAAAAUU